UAAUACGAACUGUGCGAACGUUAUUCGGAAUCACUGGGCUUAAAGGGUGCGUAGGCGGUUUGUUAAGUCAGGUGUGAAAUCCCCCGGCUCAACCGGGGAACAGCGCUUGAAACUAGCAGACUGGAGUGAGGCAGGGGUGUGCGGAACUUCCAGUGGAGCGGUGAAAUGUGUAGAUAUUGGAAGGAACGCCGGCGGCGAAAGCGGCACACUGGGCCUUGUCUGACGCUGAGGCACGAAAGCCAGGGGAGUGAACGGGAUUAGAUACCCCGGUAAUCCUGGCCGUAAACACUGAGCACUGGAGGGGGGCGGUUUCGGCCCUCCCCCUCGUAGCGAAAGCGUUAAGUGCUCCGCCUGGGGAGUAUGGUCGCAAGGCUGAAACUUAAAUGAAUUGACGG
rnacentral:rRNA from 1 species